rnacentral:rRNA from 1 species
UACGUAGGUGGCAAGCGUUGUCCGGAUUUAUUGGGUUUAAAGGGUGCGUAGGCGGCUUUGUAAGUCAGUGGUGAAAUAUGGCAGCUUAACUGUCAGGGUGCCAUUGAUACUGCGGAGCUUGAGUACAGAUGAGGUAGGCGGAAUUGACGGUGUAGCGGUGAAAUGCGCAGAUAUCAGGAGGAACACCGGUGGCGAAGGCGGAUCUCUGGGCCUUACCUGACGCUCAGGCGCGAAAGCUAGGGGAGCGAACAGG